rnacentral:tRNA from 1 species
AUUUAUAUAGUUUAAUAAAACAUUACACUUUCAUUGUAAAAACAGUAAAUUAAUUACUUAUAAAUA